ACAUCUUUAAAUAGAUAUUUGCGUAUGCUUUGAGGUCUACAGUGUGCAAUAUGCUUUGCGAUUUACAACAUCAACCAUACCAAAGAAGAAUAUCUGAAACAGAAACAGAACUGUCUAUUGCUGAUAUAACUCAUCCAUAUGACAGAGAAAGAGAGAAAGAGAGAAAGGAGAGAGUGAGAGAGAGACAGAGAGAGAGAGAGAGAUGGAUAUAUGACACAGCAGAACAGGACGCACUACCUCGCUGAAAACAACCAAGAUUAUUCCUUCAAUUCCUUCAACCAUAAACAAGGCUAUUUGUCAUCUACGACAGCUUACACUGUAACGGGAUGAGGACUCAAGUCAUACGCAUACCACUUUGAUUGACAGGUGUGCUUGUUUUGUUCAGGGAAGUGGGACGUGUGAGAUCUGACCAGCGAAUUUAUUAACGGAAUAACGUCUUUGACGUCGAGUAAACCAUGAUCAAGCAAACAAAUCUCUGUGACCAGAAUAACCUUGUUUUGAUAGGUUUCCGAGAGGUGGAGAGGUGUGGAGGGCUGGGGAGUGUUGGACAAAGAAACCCAGGCUACCCCAUCCAUCAGCAGGGUGAAACAAAGCGUGUUCCAGUUCACGGCAAUAUCCAGCAACUUCACAUAGCCAUUGAAGAGGAGUGGGACUACAAUCCACCAGCCACAAUCAACAGCCUGAUCAACUCUAUGCCAAGGAGAUGUGUCGCGCUGCAUGAGGCAAAUGGUGGUCACACCAGAAAAUGAAUGAAAAUGUUCUGAUCCACACCCCUACCUUUUUUUAAGGUCUGUGACCAACACAUGCAUAUCUGUAUUCCCAGUCAUGUGAAAUCCAUAGAUUAGGGCUUAAUGCAUUUAUUUCAAUUGACUGAUUUCAAUUGAUGAAAAGUAACUCAGUAAAAUCGUUGAAAUUGUUGAUGUUGCGUUUAUAUUUUUGUUCAGUGUAGUCUCUGUGGGAUAUGUAUUAUCCAGGCAUUUUGGUAUAGGGGCCUAUGUUGAUGAGCUGAUGAGCAUUUCAGACCAUCCCUAUACUCAGGAAGGGGCCAUGGGUUCAGUUAUGGGAUGGGAGUCAUUAUGCUAGAUUCAAGACAGGGUUCAGUUAUGGGAUUGAAGUCAUUAUGCUAGAUUCAAGACAGGGUUCAGUUAUGGGAUGGGAGUCAUUAUGCUAGAUUCAAGACAGGGUUCAGUUAUGGGAUUGAAGUCAUUAUGCUAGAUUCAAGACAGGGUUCAGUUAUGGGAUUGAAGUCAUUAUGCUAGAUUCAAGACAGGGUUCAGUUAUGGGAUGGGAGUCAUUAUGCUAGAUUCAAGACAGGGUUCAGUUAUGGGAUGGGAGUCAUUAUGCUAGAUUCAAGACAGGGUUCAGUUAUGGGAUUGAAGUCAUUAUGCUAGAUUCAAGACAGGGUUCAGUUAUGGGAUGGGAGUCAUUAUGCUAGAUUCAAGACAGGGCUCAGUUAUGGGAUGGAAGAGAUUGAUCAGCUAGAGUCAAGGCAACACACUGAGUUUGUGUUGACUUUACAGACAUUCAGCUCCUUUAACAAGUUUAGAUGUUUUAACAACAGAGUUUAGUUCUAUUUCUAUGGUUUUUGCAGUACAACCACACAAAUAAGUGCUAACCCACAGGGCACAGACGUCAUUUCAACGUCUAGUUUAGAUUUACAGUUAGUGGAUUUGUCAACAAAUGUGAAUUCAAUGUGAAAUCAGCCAAACAUGUUUACAAUGUCAUUGUAUUUUGGUUAAAAGAUGGGUUGAUUACUUUAUAUUGAUGACUUUUUGCAAAUCCAAUCAGUUUUCCACGUUGAUUCACCAUCGUCACAUAGAUUUUUGUUGUUGUUGAAAUAACGUGGAAACAACAUUGAUUCAACUGGUUUUUGUCCAACGGGAAGUUAAUCCUGAAAAGUCUAUUCAUCUUUAGCUGUUUAGCAGUUACAGCCCACUCUGACAGGAAUGUGUAAAUUGCUUGUGAUCAUGUGUAGUUUAGGACUAGGACUAGGACAGGACUUGACAGGUUGUAAUACUUUCUUGAUCAAAAUGAGGAUGCACUGCACACAAUUGUGGGAAAACCCAACAGAUACAAUUCAUUAUUCUAAUCACACAAAUGGCUCACAAAGAAAAUGUAUGACUCAAUGGUACACCGUGAUAGUCAUGGCCCCCAUGCUCAUUGAUGACAGUUUUGUAUGGCAGGAUUUUCUUUGUGACAUUAAUCAUUUCAUUACAGUGCUUGUCGCUACCAAGACCACACCAGUGGCUUUUUCUCCUCUCCCCUUCAUUAUUCAAAACUGAAAAGGUUACAUUGAUUUCUGGUGCCAUUUCCCCAGCUCAGCGAUGGAAUCUUAAUAAAUCAAAUCAUUUUUGACAGUUGGUGGCGCAGGCAGGCAGGGGCACCAGCGUUCUAGAAUAUUGGAUUCUUGCAGCUGUGCCAUCCUGUUUGCAUUUCGUCGUCGGCACAGAGACGGUUGGUAUUUAGAGUAAUGACCAGGUGACACUGGUAGAAUGUCACAAGGGGGAGUUUUUCCAUGCAUGGUCUGACAGCUGGAUGUGACAGGAGUAAGAUUAUAACAAGUUAGACUUUUUACUUUGUACCUGAAGUUGGUGGAUAAUGGAUUUAUUUUGUUGGGCGGGGGGUAACGACAACACCAGAACACCCAAACACCCAUUUCUAAUGCAGGGAUCCAUAACAAUGUAUUAAUUUGAAUGUUAUUGGUCUGUUGCUGUUCAGAUGAAGAUUUAAAUGAACAAAAUAAUCACAAGUUUUCUAAACUAAUGCAGUUUCCACUUUCCCUCCCUUGUGUUGCUGUUGCAAACAUUAGUAUAAAUAGCUGUUGUCUUAGACUACUGACAAUCUCAAUCACAAAUUGUUCUGGGUGUAGCUCUUAGCUGGUAUAUAAAUCUAUAAGAGCUGGGAAGCUGGACGACCUAGAUCCUGUAACACUCCCCUCCAGAUGCCUUUGUUGACAGAGAAAGCUCUCCUCCCUUUCUCUCUCUAUCCCUUCUCUUGCUCUCUCUCUAUCUCUCUCUCCCUUCUCUUCUCUCUCUCCAUCACUCUCUCUUUCCCCAUUGUGCCCUAUCACCAUAUGAGGAGGGGAGAGAAUCAGAGACGGUUAACACUUUAACGCCCUGACCAUAGAGAGCCCUUGGUUCUCCAUGGUGUAGUAUGGUCUAGUAUAUUUAUUUCUAUGUUGGUGUGCUUGGUAUGGUUCCCAAUUAGAGGCAGCUGGUAAUCGUUGCCUCUAAUUGGGGAUCCUAUUUAGGUAACCUUUUUCCCACCUGUGUUUUGUGGGAUAUUGUUUUGAGUUAGUGCAUGUGGCACUGCUGAUGUCACGGUUCGUUAUUUGUUUCUUUUUGUUUGGAAGUUUCGCGUAAAUAAAUAUGUGGAACUUUAA